UACGUAGGGGGGCAAGCGUUGUCCGGAAUCAUUGGGCGUAAAGCGCGUGUAGGCGGUUCGGUAAGUCCGCCGUCAAAUCCCCAGGGCUCAACCCUGGACAGGCGGUGGAAACUACCAAGCUGGAGUACGGUAGGGGCAGAGGGAAUUUCCGGUGGAGCGGUGAAAUGCAUUGAGAUCGGAAAGAACACCAACGGCGAAAGCAGCUCUGCUGGGCCGACACUGACACUGAGAGACGAAAGCUAGGG
rnacentral:rRNA from 1 species